rnacentral:rRNA from 1 species
GAUGAACGCUGGCGGCGUGCCUAAUACAUGCAAGUCGAGCGAACAGACGAGGAGCUUGCUCCUCUGACGUUAGCGGCGGACGGGUGAGUAACACGUGGAUAACCUACCUAUAAGACUGGGAUAACUUCGGGAAACCGGAGCUAAUACCGGAUAAUAUAUUGAACCGCAUGGUUCAAUAGUGAAAGACGGUUUUGCUGUCACUUAUAGAUGGAUCCGCGCCGCAUUAGCUAGUUUGUAAGGUAACGGCUUACCAAGGCAACGAUGCGUAGCCGACCUGAGAGGGUGAUCGGCCACACUGGAACUGAGACACGGUCCAGACUCCUGCGGGAGGCAGCAGUAGGGAAUCUUCCGCAAUGGGCGAAAGCUUGACGGAGCAACGCCGCGUGAGUGAUGAAGGUCUUCGGAUCGUAAAACUCUGUUAUUAGGGAAGAACAAAUGUGUAAGUAACUAUGCACGUCUUGACGGUACCUAAUCAGAAAGCCACGGCUAACUACGUG